rnacentral:rRNA from 1 species
UACGUAGGUGGCAAGCGUUUGUCCGGAUUUAUUGGGUUUAAAGGGUGCGUAGGCGGUCUUAUAAGUCAGUGCUGAAAUAUCCCGGCUUAACCGGGAGGGUGGCAUUGAUACUGUAGGACUUGAGUAGAGUUUGAGGUUGGCGGAAUUGACGGUGUAGCGGUGAAAUGCUUAGAUAUCGUCAAGAACACCGAUAGUGAAAGACAGCUAAACUAAGCUCAAACUGACGCUGAGGCACGAAAAGUGUGGGGGGAUCAAAACAGG